GAUCCGCGAAGUUAAGCAACAUCGAGCUUGGUCAGUACUUAGAUGGGUGACCGCUUGGGAAUAUCAGAUGAUGUAAG